AAACAGCUAAUCCUGCCCUUAGACUCGUAUGGCGGAGGUUCACCCACAGGUAUGCCUAAGCGAAUGUCCGCUCUCCGAUGCAGAGAUCCGCUUCCCAAUUUUCUUCCCAACUAGUUUAUGAACCAAGUGUGAAUCUCCGAUAAGGAGAUUCGUGCUAUCCUUUCGUUUUACUCCGGCUUAUGAACACUUCGGCGAAAUUGCUGGGGGAGCGAAUCAUUUUACGUACCCUUUUUCAGGGUUCUUUGAUCGAACCGGCCUCGUUCCACGGCGGAGAAGGGGACUUACAGUGGGUCGACAGACCCAACCCUCCGCUAUAAAUAGGGUCGGUCUCCGUUUCUCCGAUUUCCGCCUCCCAGCUGAGAUUCCUUGUGCUUACCCCCCACCAUCCCAUAUUUCUCUCUCUAUCUCUCACUCAUGGUGACGAUCAAGUUCAUCAAGGCUCGUCAGAUCUUCGACAGCCGUGGGAAUCCCACUGUGGAGGUGAUCUUCCUCUCUUAGAUCUCUUUCUCUAUUGCAAUCUCCGAUCCGAUCGUUAGGGUUUUUAGGGUUUUGGAUUGGAUUUUUUCUUGUAAUUGGAAAGGGGGUUUCGAGUUUCAGAUCGGAGGAUCUCUUCUUGAUUGAG
rnacentral:lncRNA from 1 species